rnacentral:rRNA from 1 species
GAGUUUGAUCAUGGCUCAGAUUGAACGCUGGCGGCAUGCCUUACACAUGCAAGUCGAACGGUAACAGGUCUUCGGACGCUGACGAGUGGCGAACGGGUGAGUAAUACAUCGGAACGUGCCCAGUCGUGGGGGAUAACUACUCGAAAGAGUAGCUAAUACCGCAUACGAUCUGAGGAUGAAAGCGGGGGACCUUCGGGCCUCGCGCGAUUGGAGCGGCCGAUGGCAGAUUAGGUAGUUGGUGGGAUAAAAGCUUACCAAGCCGACGAUCUGUAGCUGGUCUGAGA